AGCAGCCGCGGUAAUUCCAGCUCCAAUAGCGUAUAUUAAAGUUGUUGCAGUUAAAAAGCUCGUAGUUGAAUUUCGGGGUCAGUAGGCUGGUCGUGCCACAGGUACGUACUGGUCUCACUGAUUCCUCCUUCCUGAUGAACCGUAAUGCCAUUAAUUUGGUGUUGCGGGGAAACUGGACUGUUACUUUGAAAAAAUUAGAGUGUUUAAAGCAGGCUAACGCUUGAAUACAUUAGCAUGGAAUAAUGAAAUAGGACGUUCGAUCCUAUUUUGUUGGUUUCUAGGAUUGACGUAAUGAUUAAUAGGGAUAGUUGGGGGCAUUAGUAUUCAAUUGUCAGAGGUGAAAUUCUUGGAUUUAUUGAAGACUAACUACUGCGAAAGCAUUUGCCAAGGAUGUUUUCAUUAAUCAAGAACGAAAGUUAGGGGAUCGAAGACGAUCAGAUACCGUCGUAGUCUUAACCAUAAACUAUGCCGACUAGGGAUCGGAUGAUGUUAAUUUUUAAUGACUCAUUCGGCGCCUUAC
rnacentral:rRNA from 1 species